CCUACGGGAGGCAGCAGUGGGGAAUCUUAGACAAUGGGGGAAACCCUGAUCUAGCCAUGCCGCGUGAGCGACGAAGGCCCUAGGGUCGUAAAGCUCUUUCGCCAGGGAUGAUAAUGACAGUACCUGGUAAAGAAACCCCGGCUAACUCCGUGCCAGCAGCCGCGGUAAUACGGAGGGGGUUAGCGUUGUUCGGAAUUACUGGGCGUAAAGCGUACGUAGGCGGACUUUUAAGUUAGAGGUGAAAUCCCAGGGCUCAACCCUGGAACUGCCUUUAAUACUGGGAGUCUUGAGUUCGAGAGAGGUGAGUGGAAUUCCAAGUGUAGAGGUGAAAUUCGUAGAUAUUUGGAGGAACACCAGUGGCGAAGGCGGCUCACUGGCUCGAUACUGACGCUGAGGUACGAAAGUGUGGGGAGCAAACAGGAUUAGAUACCCUGGUAGUCCACACCGUAAACGAUGAAUGCCAGUCGUCGGGAUGCUUGCAUCUCGGUGACACACCUAACGGAUUAAGCAUUCCGCCUGGGGAGUACGGUCGCAAGAUUAAAACUCAAAGGAAUUGACGGGG
rnacentral:rRNA from 1 species